rnacentral:rRNA from 1 species
ACUACGGGCGGCUGCAGUGGGGGAUAUUGCACAAUGGGGGAAACCCUGAUGCAGCGACGCCGCGUGUGGGAAGACGGUCCUCUGGAUUGUAAACCACUGUCCCCAGGGACGAAGAUGACGGUACCUGGGGAGGAAGCUCCGGCUAACUACGUGCCAGCAGCCGCGGUAAUACGUAGGGAGCGAGCGUUGUCCGGAAUUACUGGGUGUAAAGGGAGCGUAGGCGGGACUGCAAGUUGGGUGUCAAAUCUACCGGCUCAACCGGUAGCCGCACUCAAAACUGCAGUUCUUGAGUGAAGUAGAGGCAGGCGGAAUUCCUAGUGUAGCGGUGAAAUGCGUAGAUAUUAGGAGGAACACCAGUGGCGAAGGCGGCCUGCUGGGCUUUUACUGACGCUGAGGCUCGAAAGUGUGGGGAGCAAACAGGAUUAGAUACCCCGGUAGUC